rnacentral:misc_RNA from 1 species
UACGUAGGGGGCAAGCGUUGUCCGGAAUUACUGGGCGUAAAGGGCGCGUAGGCGGCCCAGAAAGUCUUCGGUGAAAUCUCCCGGCUUAACUGGGAGCGGUCCGGGGAAACUUCUGGGCUUGAGGACAGCAGAGGAGGGUGGAAUUCCCGGUGUAGUGGUGAAAUGCGUAGAUAUCGGGAGGAACACCAGUGGCGAAGGCGGCCCUCUGGGCUGUACCUGACGCUAAGGCGCGAAAGCGUGGGGAGCGAACCGG